UAAAGAAAUUAUAUUUCGCUCCAUUUUCGAAUAAUAUUCAAUUAAUCAUUUGUUAUAUAAUUAAUUUUACGUAAAAGGCGCGAUGGAAACAUUGUUAUUCUCGCGUUGAAAUCGGUCGCCAAAUCAUAUCGAUCGGUUCUCAAGUGCUUAAUAUGUCCGGUUAGUUCAUGGACAGCCCCGAUAUGAAUUUUAAAUGCAACGUUGAAAACGCGCCUUUCAUGACGAGACGACGAAGAAGAACCGCUUCUCACGGCAUUCGACGGAAAGAAAGGAUCGUGGCCGGUCACACCCUUCUUUUGUGCUAUUCACUCACGGAUUAUUACGAAUGAAAUAACGAACUACCGUGAUUUAUCAUGAUUUUACAAGCGAAACUUUUUCAUCCGUAAACCUGAUUUCAAACGCGGCCGAUUUUAUCGAGAUUUUAUCGAUCGAACACGUUUCAUCGUAAUUAGAAUUGGAAAAGAUCGUAAAGUUUUAUAUUUCGUGAAUAAACGGGGGAAGAAAGCAUGGUACGUUUUGUAUAUUUUAAUUUGGAAAGUAUAUGAUAACGAUGAUGAGUAAGAGGAUAGGAGAUUCGCAACAAGUUUUUGUUAUAAUUUAUACAAACGUAUGUACUUUUGAUUGUUAAUUUGAUUUUCGAGGAAAAUUUUUUUUCUAGACUCUUUAAUAGCCACGCUUCUGAUUCAUUUAAAUCACUUUUAAUAUUCGUGAAAAUAAUAGUCGAAGUGGAUUAAAAAAGUGAGAGAUCUAGAAAGCGUGGAAUUAUCCUUCUUAUAUUGCAUCCAUGCAACCUCCAGAACUUUUAUUUGCUUAUAGUGGAUACCGUAUUUAUGAUUGUAAUAAUAACUGUUUGAGAAAUAAAAUUCAUUUAGUUUUUUUUGUCAUUGCUAGAAUCGAGUUCUAAAUCCGAUUAUUCCUUUUUAGAUCAUUCACAUACAUUUCUUUUACAAUUUUAUUGCCUAUAAUUGACGUUUAAUUGCUAUUAAAAUGGGGACAAGUAUAAUGUUUGAGUCAUCUCGUGAACUACGACUAUAUAUAUACGUAUAUACGUGUGAUAAUGAGUUUCAAGAAUAGGUCAAAAUAGCACUGCUUAUAUGUAAUGAUAAAUAAAGUAGGAAACUGGUUUCUUAUGAGAAGAUAUCGUAGCAAUAAUUUAUACGAAUAAUAAUAAUUUAAACCUUAAGUUUAUCAAGGUUUGUCUAUUCUUGGAAACGGCGUGUGAAUUAAUGGAGCGCGACGAGAUUCAAUUAUUCAACGUCGCGCGUUCGAUCGAUCGCCGGAGAUUUCAAUACCUGAUAUCGAUUAAUCGUUUCGAAGACGCGUCUGCGCAUUUGUGUUCGAGAUACGCGCAUGCGCUCUUCCCGCUCGUAAAUUGCCGGCAGACGCUUCUCAAUAGUAAAUACUAUGCGGUGAAAAGACGACGCGGAGAAUAUAUCGGUAGGAAGGAAAGGAUAAUUAAUUCUCCAUCGUGAAGAAAAGAGGCGAGUAAAGCGCGGUGAACGAAACGCACAGAAACGGUGCUCACCGGUGCUAGGAACUGCGUUCAAGGAGAACAGCAAACGAAGAAUUACGUAAUUCGGGUUACGUUCCUUUGAUGUACAAAUGAUUUUAACGCGAAACAGGAAAUCACCUUUUUUGCUUUUUUUCCACUAGCAAAUCUCGCCAUCGUUCCGUUUCAAGGAUUUAUAGAAGAUCGUUCAACUUGAACGAUCCGACGAAAUUGGAACACAAGUUUGAAUUUUUAUUUCUUGAAAAUUGAAGAUGGAAGAAAAAAAUGAGGUGUUAACGUUAAAAGAUUUUGGACAUUUUGUUAAUAUUACACGUGUUGUGGUUCAAAAUUUUGCCGAAGAAUUUCUUUUCUUCUCUUUUCAUUUCAUAUCACAUUGUUCACAAACGCGACUUGAAAGAGAAAAAAUUUGCACAUGCUAAUUAAUCAAUCACGUGUUGAAAGUUAAACACUAUAUACCUCGAGCAUUAACGUCUAUUCUCUUUUCCUGCUAACAAGUGAAAGUUCUCAGAAAAGGUUAUGUAUACAUAUACCUACGUACAGUAUGUACACGUGUAUUUACUCGAUCCUCUGCCAAUAAUCAACGAUAAUUUUAAUUUUCUGCUUCGCCAGUGACUUGAGAAGAAUUCGAAUGCCAUUCUACAAAUGUACAUUGAAAGUUGACGUUAAUAAUUCAACGAUUAAUUCGUUGUGAAAAUUUCGCUGUUUCGUCGAUCUUAAACACGAUAUCGGCAACAAUGGAUACACCGAUUCGGAAACGUUAAAUUUUGAAAAAAAUUUUCAACAGAAUUUUUACAUCGAUACGAAAGUGUACAGAGAAGAUGCUGCGCUUUAUUUUCUCGAUGGAAAGGUAUACACGGCGCAACACGGAAAGUGGGUUGCCCGUUGCACGCAUCGGCAACAAGGUGAAUGUUCUCUAAAAAGAUUUUCUCUCUGCAAACUUAACUGUAUUGUUACUCGUCGUGCUCAAGCUAUUGUGUUCGCAUGCUGCAUCACUUUGACGAUAGAAACUGCUCCUUAUCAAUUAUCAAGAACGAUUUUCAUCUAUCUCGACAUCGUGCCGCCGUGUAUUUCCAUUAUUAUAACACGUGUUUGUACAGUGAUAGAAAAUUCUCACGGAAUUUCACAGAAUUGCAGAAUCUUCUAAAUUUCACUUUUUCUCGAUCCGCACAGCACGCCGAUUUCUUCUUCGUAUCCCCUCUUCUUUCGCGAAAAAAAAUAUCGCGAAAUCCAAUCGAUUUCCUUUUCCACGCGAGUUAUACACUUUGGAAAUGUAUAUUUCUACGAGCUGGCCCAGUUUCUUCGACCGGCUCGAAAGUAAAAUUGAAAUAGAUACGCAUGAUGUGUUGCAUGGAAGAUUUCGAUGGAUGGUUAAUGAUAUGGAAAGAAUAAUCAUUCUUUAUUCCAGCAAGAGAGAAAAUAUUGUAUAAUUCUUCUAUCAAAAUUUAUUUAUUAUUUCAAGAAUAAUCAUUCUUUAUUCCAGCAAGAAAGAAAAUAUUGUAUAAUUCUUCUAUCAAAAUUUAUCAUAUAUAAAUUUUCACAAUGAGAUUCAUUUCUGUGAAUUAUGAAUAAAUAAGAAUUAGAAUUGAAUGCUGAAGAAUUGGAUACAGAGCAAGAAAAAUUGUAAGAGUUAAUUAAUUUUGCGUUUAACAAUGGAACAUUAUGUGAUUUAUACAUAUUUAGAAUAUGUUGAAUUUAUAUAUAAACGUGCAAUAAUCUGAAUGCAAGUUGAGAAACGAUACUCAAACGAUACAAAAGCACAAAGCAGUCACAACUUUCUCGUAAAAUGCUCGAUCAAACGAUAGCAUUGAAUGGAAGAGCGAGGUUUAUUGGACUCGGUGUAGAAUUGCAACCAGAAGCUGGUCGGUAGCCAUUCCUUUCAUUACGUUCACCGAUAUUCUAGAAAGUUGUCACUUGGAGGAGGCCUUCUCUCUUUCGCCCGGUCAGAAACUGUUGGAAAUGUUGAGCCUCGUCAGAAACUUGAUGCAACUAACGUUUCUUGCACGAUAAUGGUUUCCUGCUGACCGAUCACAAAUUAGAUUCUCGAAAGUAUCGCGAGAGGCAACUUCCUUCCUAUCGUUAAACACGUAUUUCACGUUUUUCAUAAUAUAUUUCUACAAUACGUACUUCGUAAUCCAAUUUCGUAGGCUUGACAAAUUGAAUUUAGCAAUUUAAAUGUCGAUGUUGUACACGCAAUCAAUGUAAUCAGUGAUGGUUUAUUUUAAUAAGUUACUCGAAUAAUUUAUUAUUCAAA